rnacentral:rRNA from 1 species
AUUGAACGCUGGCGGCAGGCCUAACACAUGCAAGUCGAGCGAGCGGCGGACGGGUGAGUAAUGUCUGGGAAACUGCCUGAGGGAGGGGGAUAACUACUGGAAACGGUAGCUAAUACCGCAUACCAUUGGAUGUGCCCAGAUGGUAUUAGCUAGUAGGGGGGGUAACUGCUCACCUAGGCGACGAUCCCUAGCUGGUCUGAGAGGACGACCAGCCACACUGGAGCUGAGACACGGUCCAGACGCCUACGGGAGGGAGUAGUGGGGAAUAUUGCACAAGGGGCGCAAGCCUGAUGCAGCCAUGCCGCGUGUGUGAAGAAGGCCUUCGGGUUGUAAAGCACUUUCAGCGGGGAGGCGUUACCCGCAGAAGAAGCACCGGCUAACUCCGUGCCAGCCGCCGCGGUAAUAC